rnacentral:rRNA from 1 species
AUUGAACGCUGGCGGCAUGCCUUACACAUGCAAGUCGAACGGCAGCACGGGAGCAAUCCUGGUGGCGAGUGGCGAACGGGUGAGUAAAGUAUCGGAACGUACCUUUCAGUGGGGGAUAACGUAGCGAAAGUUACGCUAAUACCGCAUAUUCUGUGAGCAGGAAAGCAGGGGAUCGCAAGACCUUGCGCUGAUGGAGCGGCCGAUAUCAGAUUAGCUAGUUGGUGAGGUAAAGGCUCACCAAGGCGACGAUCUGUAGCGGGUCUGAGAGGAUGAUCCGCCACACUGGGACUGAGACACGGCCCAGACUCCUACGGGAGGCAGCAGUGGGGAAUUUUGGACAAUGGGGGCAACCCUGAUCCAGCCAUGCCGCGUGAGUGAAGAAGGCCUGGUUGUAAGCUCUUCGUCGGAAAAUACGCUCUCCUAUACGGGGU